GACGAACGCUGGCGGCGUGCCUAAUACAUGCAAGUCGAGCGAAUCAAUAGGAGCUUGCUCCUGUUGGUUAGCGGCGGACGGGUGAGUAACACGUGGGCAACCUGCCUGUAAGACUGGGAUCACAUCGGGAAACCGAUGCUAAUACCGGAUAAUUCAUUCCCUCUCAUGAGGGAAUGUUGAAAGUCGGUUUCGGCUAACACUUACAGAUGGGCCCGCGGCGCAUUAGCUAGUUGGUGAGGUAACGGCUCACCAAGGCAACGAGGCGUAGCCGACCUGAGAGGGUGAUCGGCCACACUGGGACUGAGACACGGCCCAGACUCCUACGGGAGGCAGCAGUAGGGAAUCUUCCACAAUGGACGAAAGUCUGAUGGAGCAACGCCGCGUGAGCGAUGAAGGCCUUCGGGUCGUAAAGCUCUGUUGCUAGGGAAGAACAUGUACCGGAGUAACUGCCGGUACCUUGACGGUACCUAACCAGAAAGCCACGGCUAACUAUGUGCCAGCAGCCGCCGUAA
rnacentral:rRNA from 1 species